GUCUACAGCCAUACCACCCUGAACACACCCAAUCUCAUCUGAUCUCAGAAGCUAAUCAGGGUAGGGCCUGGUUAAUACUUGGAUGUGAGAACU
rnacentral:rRNA from 1 species